UCGAUUCAGUUACUGACAAAACUCUUCUGGCGUCGGCUUCUUUUAUUAGUCGAGUGUUCUUUAGAUUAAAAAGUCAACUAAAGAUAGCUGGAGUUUUCUUGAAGUUUUUUAUUAUAGACAUGCAUUUUGCAAAAAAAAAAAAAAAGGAAAAAUCAACAAAAAACCUUUUAUAUAUCAGAAGCGUAAAGAUAAAAGUUAUCAACAACUCUGUUACGUCAGAACAAUAAAAACAACUCUGUUAUGUCAGAACAAUAAAAACAACUCUGUUAUGUCAGAACAAUAAAAACAACUCUGUUAUGUCAGAACAAUAAAAACAACUCUGUUACGUCAGAACGAUAAAAACAGCUCUUCCCUAUCACAGGAGAAGAAAAACAAUGUGAAAUAUUGUUCCUAGACGCAGAUUCAAAAUGUCUACUGACAAAUUUCCUAUGCAUGCAGAGUUAUCUCGUGCUUCGGACUCCGCAUAUGAAGAUUCUUUGCAUUUGGAGAUUCCAGAAACCUUCAGUAGCAUUCCAUCACCAGACGUCAGAACAAAGUCAAUACCAUUACGCCUGACGUCUUCAAGGGACAACAGAAGUAGCUUAGCAAGCAAAGUCAGUAAACAAGAGGCUACGAGGUCACCAAGUUACUUUAAGGAACAACUGUUUCCUUUAACUUCGCUUCCAACAUCCGAGUAUCCAUCUCCGGUUAUUGUUAAAAACGAGUAUCCUGAGAAUCAAUUUCCUGAUUCGAGCUUUCCUGCAGGUGACUUUCCAAACAAUGGAUUUCCUCGGAUAAAUUACCCGAUUGCUAUAUUACCAGAGAAUGCAUUUCCACCAGCAGCAUAUCCAAGAAGCCAUUUUCCAGAGUCAGGAAUAUAUCCGGGACUCUAAUAACCGACUGAUUAAAACUGAGUUGGUUGGUCUAAAUACCGAACAUGACAAUGGAGGCUUAAAAGUUUUACUCGACGUUCAAAGUUCUCUUAUCUGGCCACAUAUAUUAGUUGUGUAGUAUUGAUAAAUGCAAGUUGAGGGUUGUUAAAUAUACAAACUUUUGUGUUGACCAAAACAUUGUUUCAAAAAUAGUAUAUUUCGAUUACAUUAAAUACUGUUUUUUU
rnacentral:sRNA from 1 species